rnacentral:rRNA from 1 species
UGGGGAAUAUUGGACAAUGGGCGAAAGCCUGAUCCAGCGACGCCGCGCCUCGGAAGGAGUCCUUCGGGAUGUAAACGACUUUUGGUGGAGACGAAUAAGCAGCUCAGGGAAUGGGGCUGUGAUGACGGUAUCCAUGGAAUAAGCCCCGGCUAACUACGUGCCAGCAGCCGCGGUAAGACGUAGGGGGCAAGCGUUACCCGGAAUUACUGGGCGUAAAGGGAGCGUAGGCGGGAGGUCAAGGCCGGUGUGAAAGACCCUGGCUCAACCAGGGAUGAGGGCCGGAAACUGACAAUCUUGAGUACAGCAGAGGAAGAGGGAAUUACCGGUGUAGGGGUGAAAUCCGUAGAGACCGGUAAGAAGGCCAGUGGCGAAGGCGCUUUUCUGGGCUGUUACUGACGCUGAGGCUCGAAAGCCAGGGGAGCAAACCG